AACGUAGGAGACUAGCGUUAUCCGGAUUUACUGGGCGUAAAGCGUGUGCAGGCGGUUCGGCAAGUUGGAUGUGAAAUCUCCCGGCUCAACUGGGAGGGGUCGUUCAAUACUACCGAACUUGAGGGCAUCAGAGGAAGGUGGAAUUCCGGGUGUAGGUGGUGAAAUGCGUAGAUAUCCGGAGGAACACCAGUGGCGAAGGGCGGCCUUCGUGGGAUGCUCCUGACGCUCAGACACGAAAGCUAGGGGAGCGAACGGG
rnacentral:rRNA from 1 species